CAGUAGCCGCGGUAAGACAGAGGAUGCAAGCGUUAUCCGGAAUGAUUGGGCGUAAAGGGCUCGCAGGCGGUUUCUUAAGUCUGAUGUGAAAGCCCCCGGCUCAACCGGGGAGGGUCAUUGGAAACUGGGAAACUUGAGUGCAGAAGAGGAGAGUGGAAUUCCACGUGUAGCGGUGAAAUGCGUAGAGAUGUGGAGGAACACCAGUGGCGAAGGCGACUCUCUGGUCUGUAACUGACGCUGAGGAGCGAAAGCGUGGGGAGCGAACAGGAUUAGAUACCCGGGUAGUCCCUGUCUCUUAUAC
rnacentral:rRNA from 1 species